rnacentral:rRNA from 1 species
AGCGAACGCUGGCGGCAGGCCUAACACAUGCAAGUCGAACGAACCUUUCGGGGUUAGUGGCGGACGGGUGAGUAACACGUGGGAACGUGCCUUUAGGUUCGGAAUAACUCAGGGAAACUUGUGCUAAUACCGAAUGUGCCCUUCGGGGGAAAGAUUAAUCGCCUUUAGAGCGGCCCGCGUCUGGUUAGCUGGUUGGGUGAGGUAAUGGCUCACCAAGGCGACGAUCAGUAGCUGGUCUGAGAGGAUGAUCAGCCACAUUGGGACUGAGACACGGCCCAGACUCUGACGGGAGGCAGCAGUGGGGAAUAGUGGACAAUGGGCGCAAGGCUGAUCCAGCAAUAACGCGGGGAGGAUGAAGGCCUUCGGGUUGUAAAAUGCUUUUGUACGGAACGAAAAGCAGUCGGUUAAUAGCGGGGGGUAAUGACGGUACCGAAAGAAUAAGCACCGGCUAACUUCGUG